GACGAACGCUGGCGGCGUGCCUAAUACAUGCAAGUCGAGCGGACGGAUGGGAGCUUGCUCCCAGACCGUCAGCGGCGGACGGGUGAGUAACACGUGGGCAACCUGCCUGUAAGACUGGGAUAACUCCGGGAAACCGGGGCUAAUACCGGAUAACUCUUUCCCUCACAUGAGGGAAAGCUGAAAGAUGGCAUCUCGCUAUCACUUACAGAUGGGCCCGCGGCGCAUUAGCUAGUUGGUGAGGUAACGGCUCACCGAGGCGACGAUGCGUAGCCGACCUGAGAGGGUGAUCGGCCACACUGGGACUGAGACACGGCCCAGACUCCUACGGGAGGCAGCAGUAGGGAAUCUUCCGCAAUGGACGAAAGUCUGACGGAGCAACGCCGCGUGAGUGAUGAAGGUUUUCGGAUCGUAAAACUCUGUUGUCAGGGAAGAACAAGUACCGGAGUAACUGCCGGUACCUUGACGGUACCUGACCAGAAAGCCACGGCUAACUACGUG
rnacentral:rRNA from 1 species